rnacentral:rRNA from 1 species
GACGAGCCACACGAACGUUAUUCGGAAUUACUGGGCUUAAAGGGUGCGUAGGCUGCGCGGCAAGUUGGGUGUGAAAUCCCUUGGCUCAACCGAGGAACUGCGCCCAAAACUGCCGUGCUCGAGGAAGAUAGAGGUAAGCGGAACUUACGGUGGAGCGGUGAAAUGCGUUGAUAUCGUAAGGAACACCUGUGGCGAAAGCGGCUUACUGGGUCUUUUCUGACGCUGAUGCACGAAAGCUAGGGGAGCAAACGGG